AAAGAAGAAAACCACAAGAAAAUAAUCAGUAUGUAUUUGAAGUGGUAAUUUGAUUCAGUCACUAUGCUCAGCCCACAUUUAAGGAAAGAUGAGUCCUGAUCCCCUUCCUUUAAGCAAAUGACAAGCAUGUGGUUACCCUGGGCUUCAAUUCUUACCCCCAGAGCAACAUGAUGAGAGCUGGGUGGACAAACCUACACAUAGAGUCCAUAUGAUUCUGAAAGGAGUGUGGAAGUGAUGGAGCUCCCACAAUGACUGGAAUCAUCAAAUUUCCUCUCCGCCCUACAGGUUGGAGAUUACAGAUUAAAUUUGAUUUAGAAACCUAAAGGAAUGGAGCAUUUAUUACACUCUGA